rnacentral:rRNA from 1 species
GACGGAGGAUGCAAGUGUUAUCCGGAAUCACUGGGCGUAAAGCGUCUGUAGGUGGUUAAAUAAGUCAACUGUUAAAUCUUGAGGCUCAACUUCAAAAUCGCAGUCGAAACUAUUAGACUAGAGUAUAGUAGGGGUAAAGGGAAUUUCCAGUGGAGCUGUGAAAUGCGUAGAGAUUGGAAAGAACACCAAUGGCGAAAGCACUUUACUGGGCUAUUACUGACACUGAGAGACGAAAGCUAGGGUAGCAAAUGGG